GUCACUUUACCGCGGCAUGCCUUACACAUGCAAGUCGAACGGCAGCACGGGAGCAAUCCUGGUGGCGAGUGGCGAACGGGUGAGUAAUAUAUCGGAACGUGCCCAGUCGUGGGGGAUAACGUAGCGAAAGUUACGCUAAUACCGCAUACGAUCUAAGGAUGAAANCGGGGGAUCGCAAGACCUCGCGCGAUUGGAGCGGCCGAUAUCAGAUUAGGUAGUUGGUGAGGUAAAGGCUCACCAAGCCGACGAUCUGUAGCUGGUCUGAGAGGACGACCAGCCACACUGGGACUGAGACACGGCCCAGACUCCUACGGGAGGCAGCAGUGGGAAUUUUGGACAAUGGGCGCAAGCCUGAUCCAGCAAUGCCGCGUGCAGGAUGAAGGCCUUCGGGUUGUAAACUGCUUUGUACGGAACGAAACGGUGAGCUCUAAUACAGUUUGCUAAUGACGGUACCGUAAGAAUAAGCACCGGCUAACUACGUG
rnacentral:rRNA from 1 species